rnacentral:rRNA from 1 species
UACGUAGGGUGCAAGCGUUGUCCGGAAUUAUUUGGGCGUAAAGAGCUCGUAGGCGGUUUGUCGCGUCUGCUGUGAAAACCCGAGGCUCAACCUCGGGCCUGCAGUGGGUACGGGCAGACUAAAGUGCGGUAGGGGAGACUGGAAUUCCUGGUGUAGCGGUGAAAUGCGCAGAUAUCAGGAGGAACACCGGUGGCGAAGGCGGGUCUCUGGGCCGUAACUGACGCUGAGGAGCGAAAGCGUGGGGAGCGAACAGG